GAUGAACGCUAGCGGCAGGCCUAACACAUGCAAGUCGAGGGAGAAGCCCUUUCGGGGGCAGAAACCGGCGCACGGGUGCGUAACGCGUAUGCAACCUACCUUUCACAGGGGGAUAGCCCGAAGAAAUUUGGAUUAAUACCCCAUAAUAUUAUUGGAUGGCAUCAUUUGAUAAUUAAGACUGCGGUGGUGAAAGAUGGGCAUGCGUCCUAUUAGCUAGUUGGAGUGGUAACGGCACCCCAAGGCUACGAUAGGUAGGGGUCCUGAGAGGGAGGUCCCCCACACUGGUACUGCGACACGGACCCCACUCCUACGGGACGCAGCAGUGAGGUAGAUUAGGCAAGGGUCGGAAGACUGACCCAGCCAUGCCGCGUGCAGGAAGAAUGCCUUAUGGGUUGUAAUCUGCUUUUAAAUGGGAAGAAUAAGGCGUACGUGUACGUUGAUGACGGUACCAUAUGAAUAAGCAUCGGCUAACUCCGUG
rnacentral:rRNA from 1 species